rnacentral:rRNA from 1 species
ACGACGCUGGCGGCGUGGAUUAGGCAUGCAAGUCGAACGGUAUCAUCCUUCGGGGGUGAGAGAGUGGCGAACUGGUGAGUAACACGUAGGUUAUCUACCCUCAAGACGGGGACAACCCAGGGAAACUUGGGCUAAUACCGGAUGUGAGCAACUUUUAGUUGUUUGAAAGGUGGCGUAAGCUGUCGCUUGGGGAUGAGCCUGCGUCCUAUUAGUUAGUUGGUGAGGUAACGGCUCACCUAGGCAAUGAUAGGUAGGCGGCCUUAACGGGUGGUCGCCCACACUGGGAUUGAGAUACGGCCCAGACUCCUACGGGAGGCAGCAGCCGAGAAUAGUCUACAAUGGUCGGAAGACUGAUAGUGCGACGCCGCGUGAACGAUGAAUCCCUUCGGGGUGUAAAGUUCUUUUAUAUGUGAGCAGUGCUUCUUAUAUUAACAGUAUGGGGAGAGAGAUAUUAGCAUAUGAAUAAGCAACGGCUAACUCCGUG